AGCCGAGUAACUUUACUUCUCCAUAUGCAUCAUCUGCUUACAUUGGCUGGGCCAUGGCAUCUGCAGUUGCUUUAGCAGUUACUGGCGUGCUUCCCAUCAUUUCAUGGUUUGCAUCGUAUCGGUUCUCGCUCUUUUCUGCUAUAUGUGUCAGUAUAUUCUCAGAUACAUUUUCCUUUCUUUUUCAUUCUACUUUUGGCUUAUCAAUUGAAACUGUUUUGUUUGUGUUCCAUUUAAGGACUAUUUCAUCCAUUUCUUAGAGGUUAUGUCAUUUGAUCUUACUUUUUGCUGCUGCUAUUUUGUUAGCUGUACUUGUCGCAUUUAGUGGCGCCUCCUAUUUGAAAAUUGUGAAGUCUAGGGAUGACCAGGUUCCUACAGCUGGUGAUUUUCUUGCUGCUUUUUUUCCAUUGGUGUGCAUUCCAGCACUGCUAUCUCUUUGCACUGGAUUACUUAAAUGGAAAGAUGAUGGUUGGAAACUUUCUCGAGGUGUAUAUGUAUUUGUUACUAUUGGUCUAUCCUUUUGCUUUCUGCAAUUUCUUCUGUUAUUAUUGUAAUUAAGCCAUGGACGAUUGGGGAAGCAUUUCUGUUGGUUGAUUGCUCUUGCUCUUGGUGUUAUCCACCACUGGGCAUCAAAUAAUUUCUAUUUAACUAGGACACAAAUGUUCUUGGUUUGCCUCCUUGCUUUUCUUUUGGGUUCGGCAGCAUUUCUUGUUGGUUGGUUUCAAGACAAACCUUUUAUUGGAGCAUCUGUUGGUUAUUUUUCAUUUCUGUUUCUGUUUGCUGGGAAGGCUCUAACGGUUCUUCUCUCACCUCCAAUUGUUGUCUACCACGAGUGCUUCCUGUAUAUGUUUAUGAUGCUCAUGCAGGUUGUGGAAAGAAUGUCAGUGCCACAUUUCUUGUCCUGUAUGGGAUCGCACUUGCAACUGAAGGCUGGGGUGUUGUAGCUAGCUUUAUGCUGGUGCUGCUGUAUCUGCUGUAUCUGCUGUAACCAUUGUUGUAGCCUUUGGUUUUGCUGUUUCUCGUCCAUGCUUGACUCUCAAGAUGAUGGAAGAUGCAGUUCAUUUUCUCGGCAAAGAUACCGUUGUCCAAGCAAUUGCUAGAUCUGCUACUAAGG